rnacentral:rRNA from 1 species
GACGAACGCUGGCGGCGUGCCUAACACAUGCAAGUCGAACGGAACUGUUUUGAAAGAUUUCUUCGGAAUGAAUUUGAUUUAGUUUAGUGGCGGACGGGUGAGUAACGCGUGAGUAACCUGCCUUCAAGAGGGGGAUAACAUUCUGAAAAGAAUGCUAAUACCGCAUGACAUAUCGGAAUCACAUGAUUUUGAUAUCAAAGAUUUUAUCGCUUGAAGAUGGACUCGCGUCCGAUUAGUUAGUUGGUGAGGUAACGGCUCACCAAGACCGCGAUCGGUAGCCGGACUGAGAGGUUGAACGGCCACAUUGGGACUGAGACACGGCCCAGACUCCUACGGGAGGCAGCAGUGGGGGAUAUUGCGCAAUGGGGGCAACCCUGACGCAGCAACGCCGCGUGAAGGAUGAAGGUUUUCGGAUUGUAAACUUCUUUUAUUAAGGACGAAACUUGACGGUACUUAAUGAAUAAGCUCCGGCUAACUA